GAAGUUGGCCAGGCAGUCGCUGCGUUCGUUCGCAAGAACGGACGGGGAGGAAAGUCCGGGCUCCGCAGAGCAGGAUGCCGGUUAAUGGCCGGACGUCGUGAGGCGAUGGAAAGUGGCGCAGAGAGCUGAACCGCCGAUGGCCGGAGGAAGCGUUCGCAAGAACGCGGACUCUUGAUUUCGCCGCGCAAGCGGCGGGACGGAUCAGGCAAGGGUGAAAAGGUGUACUGGCCGGGCGAGAGUCCGGUCGGACAGAUAGGGUGUGGUGCCCUAUUCUGCGGUAAGAGCGCACCGCGGACGUGGUAACACGGACGGCAGGCAAAACCCCAUCCGGAGCAAGACCAAAUAGGGGGAAUUGACGUUGCUCGCGUAUAUCCCCGGGUAGGUCGCUUGAGCCUGUCGGUAACGGCAGGCCUAGAGGAAUGACUGUCCAACGACAAGACCCGGCUUAUCGGCCAACUUCCACC
rfam:Chromobacterium sp. LK11, whole genome shotgun sequence.